UCCGGUUGAUCCCGCCGGACCUGACUGCUAUCGGAUUGAUACUAAGCCAUGCGAGUCAUUGUAGCAAUACAAGGCAUACGGCUCAGUAACGCGUAGUCAACCUAACCUAUGGACGGGAAUAACCUCGGGAAACUGAGAAUAAUGCCCGAUAGAACACUAUACCUGGAAUGGUUUGUGUUCCAAAUGAUUUAUCGCCAUAGGAUGGGACUGCGGCCUAUCAGUUUGUUGGUGAGGUAAUGGCCCACCAAGACUAUUACAGGUACGGGCUCUGAGAGGAGUAGCCCGGAGAUGGGUACUGAGACACGGACCCAGGCCCUAUGGGGCGCAGCAGGCGAGAAAACUUUGCAAUGUGCGAAAGCACGACAAGGUUAAUCCGAGUGAUUUGUGCUAAACGAAUCUUUUGUUAGUCCUAGAAACACUAACGAAUAAGGGGUGGGCAAGUUCUGGUGUCAGCCGCCGCGGUAAAACCAGCACCUCAAGUGGUCAGGAUGGUUAUUGGGCCUAAAGCAUCCGUAGCCGGCUCUGUAAGUUUUCGGUUAAAUCUGUACGCUUAACGUACAGGCUGCCGGGAAUACUGCAGAGCUAGGGAGUGGGAGAGGUAGACGGUACUCGGUAGGAAGUGGUAAAAUGCUUUGAUCCAUCGAUGACCACCUGUGGCGAAGGCGGUCUACCAGAACACGUCCGACGGUGAGGGAUGAAAGCUGGGGGAGCAAACCGGAUUAGAUACCCGGGUAGUCCCAGCUGUAAACUAUGCAAACUCAGUGAUGCAUUGGCUUGUGGCCAAUGCAGUGCUGCAGGGAAGCCGUUAAGUUUGCCGCCUGGGAAGUACGUACGCAAGUAUGAAACUUAAAGGAAUUGGCGGGGGAGCACCACAAGGGGUGAAGCCUGCGGUUCAAUUGGAUUCAACGCCGGA
rnacentral:rRNA from 1 species